AUUGAAUGCGGGCGGCAGGCCUAACACAUGCAAGUCGAGCGAGCGCCGGACGGGUGAGUAAUGUCUGGGAAACUGCCUGAUGGAGGGGGAUAACUACUGGAAACGGUAGCUACUACCGCAUACCAUCAGAUGCGCCCAGAUGGGAUUAGCUAGUAGGUGUGGUAACGGCUCACGUAGGCGACGAUCCGUAGCUGGUCUGGGCGGAUAACCAGCCACCCUUGAACUGAAGCACGGUCCGAACCCCUCCGGGCGGCAGCCGUGGGGCAUAUUGCACAAUUGGCUCAGUCCUGAUGCAGCCGUGCCGCGAGUGUGAAGAAGGCCUUCGCGUUGUAAAGCACUUUCGGCGGUAAGGCGUUACCCGCCGAGGAGGCACCGGCUAACUCCGUGCCAGCAGCCGCGGUAAUUC
rnacentral:rRNA from 1 species